GGUUCGAUCAUGGGCUCAGAUUGAACGGCGGGGAUAGCUGCACAUGCAAGUCGAACGGCAGCACGGACUUCGGUCUGGUGGCGCAUUGGCGAACGGGUGAGUAAUGUAUCGGAACGUACCUAAUGGCAGGGGAUAACUACGCGAAAGCGUAUGUACCGCAUACGCCCUUCGGGAAAGCGGGGGACCAGCCUUCAGGCCUCACUAUUAAAACGGCCGAUAUCGGAUUAGCUAGUUGGUGGGGUAACAGCUCACCAAGGCGACGAUCCGUAGCUGGUUUUGAGAGGACGACCAGCCACACUAAGGACUGAGACACAGCCUUGGGCUACGGGAGGCGGCAGUGGGGAAUUUUGGACAAUGGGGAAACCCUGAUCCAGCCAUCCCGCAUGCUGCUGAUGAAGGCCUUCGGGUUAUCAACACUUUUGGCAGGAAAAGAAACGGCACCGGAUAUCCCGUGCAGCUGACAAUGCCUGCAGAAUAAGCACCGGCUAACUACGUGCAAAAGCAGCCGCGGUAAUACGUAGGGUGCAAGCGUUAAUCGGAAUUACUGGGCGUAAAGCGUGCGCAGGCGGUUCGGAAGAAAGAUGUGAAAUCUAGAGCUUAACUUUGGAACUGCAUUUUUAACUACCGAGCUAGAGUGUGUCAGAGGAGGUGGAAUUCCGCGUGUAGCAGUGAAAUGCGUAGAUAUGCGGAGGAACACCGAUGGCGAAGGCAGCCUCUGGGAUAACACUGACGCUCAUGCACAACGUGGGGAGCAAACAGGAUUAGAUACCCUGAGUAGUCCACGCCCUAAAACGAUGUCAACUAGCUGUUGGGCUUAUUGGGCGGCCGACUGGCGCAGCUAACGCGUGAAGUUGACCGCCUGGGGAGAUACAGUCGCAAGAUUAAAACUCAAAGGAAUUGACGGGGACCCGCACAAGCGGUGGAUGAUGUCUGGAUUAAUUCGAUGCAACACGAAAAACCUUACCUACCCUUGACAUGUCUGGAAUCCCGAAGGGUUGGGAGUGCUCGCAAGAGAACCGGAACACAGGUGCUGCAUGGCUGUCGUCGAAGGCGCAGUCGAGGUGUUGGGUUAAGUCCCACAACGAGCGCAACCCUUGUCGUUAGUUGCUACGAAGGGCACUCUAAUGGACUGCCAGAGUGACAAACCGGAGGAAGGUGAGGAUGACGUCAAGUCCUCAUGGCCCUUAUGGGUGGGCUUCACACAAUCGCCACAAUGGUCGGGAUGGUCGCCAACCCCACGCGAAGAGGAACCAAUCAGAAACCCGAUCGUAGUCCGGAUCACAGUCUGCAACUCGACUGCAUUGAAGUCGGAAUCGCUAGUAAUCGCCGGAUCAGCAUGUCACGGUGAAUACGUUCCCGGGUCUUGUCCCACACCGCCCG
rnacentral:rRNA from 1 species